GCAAAGAUACACAUGAAAAGUUCCUCAACAUCACUAGCUAUUAGGAAAUGCAAAUCAAAACCACAAUGAGAUAUCACAUCACACCU